rnacentral:rRNA from 1 species
CAUUACACAAUAUGAAGGCGGGCUGGAACCUCUCGGGGUUACAGCCUUGCUGAAUUAUUCACCCUUGUCUUUUGCGUACUUCUUGUUUCCUUGGUGGGUUCGCCCACCACUAGGACAAACAUAAACCUUUUGUAAUUGCAAUCAGCGUCAGUAACAAAUUAAUAAUUACAACUUUCAACAACGGAUCUCUUGGUUCUGGCAUCGAUGAAGAACGCAGCGAAAUGCGAUAAGUAGUGUGAAUUGCAGAAUUCAGUGAAUCAUCGAAUCUUUGAACGCACAUUGCGCCCUUUGGUAUUCCAAAGGGCAUGCCUGUUCGAGCGUCAUUUGUACCCUCAAGCUUUGCUUGGUGUUGGGCGUCUUGUCUCUAGCUUUGCUGGAGACUCGCCUUAAAGUAAUUGGCAGCCGGCCUACUGGUUUCGGAGCGCAGCACAAGUCGCACUCUCUAUCAGCAAAGGUCUAGCAUCCAUUAAGCCUUUUUUUCAACUUUUGACCUCGGAUCAGGUAGGGAUAC